AAGGUUGUAAUGUGGCUUGGUUUACAAGAAAGGAUAUGAUUAAGAGAAUUCAACAAAAAUGCCUAUCCUAAGGGAGCAUUCCCAUACAUUCAACUCAACAGCAAUUUCCGUUUCUUUGAUCCCCAUCUUUCUUCUUUUCUUAUUUUUCACAUCCACACAACCAUGAGCUUUUUCUUUGUUUUUUCUUUCUUUUCUUUUUCUUUGCUCCAUAGUUUCAAAGGUGAUUUUUUUUCUUGUUUCUUUUCACACUUUCACCCUUUUAUAAAACAUCACUUUUCCAAGUUUCUAAUCAACUCUUCUAAUUUACUCUCCCCAACUUUAGAUUUCAAAACCAAAUUUAUUCAAUAAUGCUCCCUACUUAGACAUAGGCGAAAGGCAAAAUUUGCAAACAAACUCGGUUUGAAGGUUCAAUUGAAACGAAAGAAAUUAGGAUUCAUUUAUUCACAAAAUUUUCAAUUGACUUUACACUUAUCAAUCAAAUGAAUCCUAAAACAAGCUCAAAGGGGGUUAACUAAGGAUCACUCCUCA
rnacentral:lncRNA from 1 species